GUCUUCCCAUCCCAUUCUUCUCCACACUUCCAUUCUUUAAUUUUUCAAAACUUAAAGCGAGAAAAGGAGAGAGAAAGUGAUCUAGUUAGAGAAGGAGACAAAGAAAAAAGGAAUGGUGAAGGAGAAAACAUCGUGAAGGAGAAAACAUCAAACUUUUGGUAAGGAAUUUAGUAUUUCUUUCGUUAAGGGGUAUUUUUAGAUAAAGUAAAAUUAUUAAACAUGAUGAUUGUAACU
rnacentral:lncRNA from 1 species